rnacentral:tRNA from 1 species
CGCGAGUUGGAGCAGUUGGUUAGCUUGCCCGACGCAUAAUCGGGAGGUCGUCAGUUCGAGUCUGACACUCGCAA